AUUGAACGCUGGCGGCAGGCCUAACACAUGCAAGUCGAACGAGUGGCGGACGGGUGAGUAAUGUCUGGGACACUGCCUGAUGGAGGGGGAUAACUACUGGAAACGGUAGCUAAUACCGCAUACCAUCGGAUGUGCCCAGAUGGGCUUAGCGAGUAGGUGGGGUAAAGGUGAACCUAGGCGACGAUCCCUAGCUGGUCUGCGAGGAUGACCAGCCACACUGGAACUGAGGCACGGUCCAGACGCCUACGGGAGGGAGCAGUGGGGAAUAUGGCACAAUGGGCGCAAGGCUGAUGCGGCCAUGCCGCGUGUAUGAAGAAGGCCUUCGGGUUGUAAAGUACUUUCAGCGGGGAGGCGUUACCCGCAGAAGAAGCACCGGCUAACUCCGUGCCAGCAGCCGCGGUAAUUC
rnacentral:rRNA from 1 species